rnacentral:rRNA from 1 species
UGGGGAAUACUGCACAAUGGGCGCAAGCCUGAUGCAGCCAUGCCGCGUGUGUGAAGAAGGCCUUCGGGUUGUAAAGCACUUUCAGCGAGGAGGAAGGUGGUGAGCUUAAUACGCUCAUCAAUUGACGUUACUCGCAGAAGAAGCACCGGCUAACUCCGUGCCAGCAGCCGCGGUAAUACGGAGGGUGCAAGCGUUAAUCGGAAUUACUGGGCGUAAAGCGCACGCAGGCGGUUUGUUAAGUCAGAUGUGAAAUCCCCGGGCUCAACCUGGGAACUGCAUUUGAAACUGGCAAGCUAGAGUCUCGUAGAGGGGGGUAGAAUUUCCAGGUGUAGCGGUGAAAUGCGUAGAGAUCUGGAGGAAUACCGGUGGCGAAGGCGGCCCCCCUGGACGAAGACUGACGCUCAGGUGCGAAAGCGUGGGGCAGCAAACAGGAUUAGAUACCCUGGUAGUCCACGCUGUAAACGAUGUCGAUUUGGAGGUUGUGCCCUGAGGCGUGGNUUCCGGAGCUAACGCGUUAAAUCGACCGCCUGGGGAGUACGGCCGCAAGGUUAAAACUUAAAUGAAUUGCGGGUCUAGCUGUUCC